AUGUUGAUAGUUUUUUGUCACUAAUGUUGGGUUUGUGAUUGUUUUUCCUUCUCAUCUGCUUGUUUUUCUCUUUUAUUGUAUGCACUGUGGCAAUGUAUUAGUCAGUUUGGAGCCUGUUUACAGUUGCGUUUGAUUUGUCAAUUUAUAGAUUACAAUGGACUACCUGGCAGAGCAACUCAGUGCUGUCAAGGCUGAUGUAAGACAGAUUUUGGACCUUCUUACAUAAGGUCGAAAAAAGGUAGCGACAGCACAAAAUGCCCACAGCAACGAAGCAUUUGUAGGUAACCUGGCAUUUGGCGUCAAGAUUGAAAGAGUAAGUUUGGUAGAGGCAGAAAGAAGCGCAUCCAAUAGGCAGGCGUUAGCUCGCAAUCUUUUGGAUGCGCUCCUUCUCAAGUCUAUACAAGCGGUAUCCAGCGCCUACGGAAGCAAAGAGAAGUAGCCACUCCGCAUCGCUUUGUUGAAGGCUAUACGAAGUUACUACUUUUUGAAAUACCAGUCAAAAGAUGAAAGAUGCGAGUGGACGAGAAUUAUUAAGGUCCUAACGGACAAAUGUAGGGACCAAGGCAGAAGAUCAAAUAAGCAAAACAUCCACACGGGCAUUGAGAGAAGAGAAAUAAAUAGACAUGAUACUAUAUACUCUAGAUAUUCUAUUAGAAUCUCGUAAGUAUGCUAACGGUAUAGUACGUAUAUUUUUCUUUAUUUAAUUAAAGACAGCUGUGGUAUGUACAAAUAUCAGUUUAGUACUUCUCGCGUCUAUCCCGAGCUCAUCCCGAGGUCAAAUUUGUCCUA